UGUGCCAGCAGCCGCGGUAAUUCCAGCUCCAAUAGCGUAUAUUAAAGUUGUUGCGGUUAAAAAGCUCGUAGUUGGAUCUCGGCGGGCAGGGGGUGGUUCGCUCUUCAGCGCUACUGCCCCGCUUUGCCCGUGUGAUUGGCGGAGGUUUCGGGGUGCUCUUCGUUGAGUGACUCGGAGCGCCGUCAGGUUUACUUUGAAAAAAUUAGAGUGCUCAAAGCAGGCUUUUCACGCUUGAAUAUUCGUGCAUGGAAUAAUGGAAUAGGAACUCGUUUCUAUUUUGUUGGUUUUCGGAAAUCGAGUUAAUGAUUAACAGGGACAAUUGGGGGCAUUAGUAUUCAGACGACAGAGGUGAAAUUCUUGGACCGUCUGAAGACUGACUACUGCGAAAGCAUUUGCCAAGAGUGUUUUCAUUAAUCAAGAACGAAAGUUAGAGGUUCGAAGGCGAUCAGAUACCGCCCUAGUUCUAACCAUAAACGAUGCCAGCUAGCGAUCUGCCGAGUUUUUUUUGUAGGCUCCGCAGGAAGCUUUCGGGAAACCAAAGCUUUUGGGUUCCGGGGGAAGUAUGGUUGCAAAGCUGAAACUUAAAGGAAUUGACGGAAGGGCACCACCAGGAGUGGAGCCUGCGGCUUAAUUUGACUCAACACGGGAAAUCUCACCAGGCCCGGACACUGGAAGGAUUGACAGAUUGAGAGCUCUUUCUCGAUUCGGUGGGUGGUGGUGCAUGGCCGUUCUUAGUUGGUGGAGUGAUUUGUCUGGUUAAUUCCGAUAACGAACGAGACUCUGUCCUGCUAAAUAGUUGGGUCGUCCUUCGUGCGAUCCAAGUUCUUCUUAGAGGGACUGGCUGCGUCUAGCAGCACGAGAUUGAGCAAUAACAGGUCUGUGAUGCC
rnacentral:rRNA from 1 species